rnacentral:rRNA from 1 species
GACGAACGCUGGCGGCGUGCCUAAUACAUGCAAGUCGAGCGAAGUUUUUCUGGUGCUUGCACUAGAAACACUUAGCGGCGAACGGGUGAGUAACACGUAAAGAACCUGCCUCAUGGACUGGGACAACUAUUGGAAACGAUAGCUAAUACCGGAUAACAGUAUUUCUCGCAUGAGAGAUAUUUAAAAGUUGGUUAUGCUAACACUAUGAGAUGGCUUUGCGGUGCAUUAGCUAGUUGGUGGGGUAAAGGCCCACCAAGGCGACGAUGCAUAGCCGACCUGAGAGGGUGAUCGGCCACACUGGGACUGAGACACGGCCCAGACUCCUACGGGAGGCAGCAGUAGGGAAUCUUCCGCAAUGGGCGAAAGCCUGACGGAGCAACGCCGCGUGAGUGAAGAAGGAUUUCGGUUCGUAAAGCUCUGUUGUUAGGGAAGAAUGGAUAUGUAGUAACUAUACAUGUAAGAGACGGUACCUAACCAGAAAGCCACGGCUAACUACGUG